rnacentral:rRNA from 1 species
UACGAAGGGUGCAAGCGUUACUCGGAAUUACUGGGCGUAAAGCGUGCGUAGGUGGUUUGUUAAGUCUGAUGUGAAAGCCCUGGGCUCAACCUGGGAACGGCAUUGGAUACUGGCUUACUAGAGUGCGGUAGAGGGGUGUGGAAUUCCCGGUGUAGCAGUGAAAUGCGUAGAUAUCGGGAGGAACAUCUGUGGCGAAGGCGACACCCUGGACCAGCACUGACACUGAGGCACGAAAGCGUGGGGAGCAAACAGG